rnacentral:rRNA from 1 species
UGGGGAAUCUUGGACAAUGGGGGCAACCCUGAUCCAGCCAUGCCGCGUGAGUGAUGAAGGCCUUAGGGUCGUAAAGCUCUUUCGCCUGUGAAGAUAAUGACGGUAGCAGGUAAAGAAACCCCGGCUAACUCCGUGCCAGCAGCCGCGGUAAUACGGAGGGGGUUAGCGUUGUUCGGAAUUACUGGGCGUAAAGCGCACGUAGGCGGACCAGAAAGUUGGGGGUGAAAAUCCCGGGGGCUCAACCCCGGAACUGCCUCCAAAACUAUUGGUCUAGAGUUCGAGAGAGGUGAGUGGAAUUCCAAGUGUAAGAGGUGAAAUUCGUAGAUAUUUGGAGGAACACCAGUGGCGAAGGCGGCUCACUGGCUCGAUACUGACGCUGAGGUGCGAAAGUGUGGGGAGCAAACAGGAUUAG